rnacentral:rRNA from 1 species
UGGGCAAUCUGCCCUGCACUCUGGGACAAGCCCUGGAAACGGGGUCUAAUACCGGAUAUGACCACCGGCCGCAUGGUCUGGUGGUGGAAAGCUCCGGCGGUGCAGGAUGAGCCCGCGGCCUAUCAGCUUGUUGGUGGGGUGAUGGCCUACCAAGGCGACGACGGGUAGCCGGCCUGAGAGGGCGACCGGCCACACUGGGACUGAGACACGGCCCAGACUCCUACGGGAGGCAGCAGUGGGGAAUAUUGCACAAUGGGCGCAAGCCUGAUGCAGCGACGCCGCGUGAGGGAUGACGGCCUUCGGGUUGUAAACCUCUUUCAGCAGGGAAGAAGCGCGAGUGACGGUACCUGCAGAAGAAGCACCGGCUAACUACGUG